GACGAACGCUGGCGGCGUGCUUAACACAUGCAAGUCGAACGGAAAGGCCCCCUCGGGGGUACUCGAGUGGCGAACAGGUGAGUAACACGUGAGUAACCUGCCCUUGACUUCGGGAUAACUUCAGGAAACUGGGGCUAAUACCGGAUAGGAAUCCUUGCUGCAUGGUGGGGGUUGGAAAGCUUCGGCGGUUUUGGAUGGACUCGCGGCUUAUCAGCUUGUUGGUGGGGUAGUGGCUUACCAAGGCUUUGACGGGUAGCCGGCCUGAGAGGGCGACCGGCCACAUUGGGACUGAGAUACGGCCCAGACUCCUACGGGAGGCAGCAGUGGGGAAUAUUGCACAAUGGGCGGAAGCCUGAUGCAGCAACGCCGCGUGCGGGAUGACGGCCUUCGGGUUGUAAACCGCUUUCAGCAGGGGCGAAGCUUGUGGUGACGGUACCUGCAGAAGAAGCACCGGCUAACUACGUG
rnacentral:rRNA from 1 species